AGUGAACGCUGGCGGUAGGCCUAACACAUGCAAGUCGAACGGCAGCACAGUAAGAGCUUGCUCUUACGGGUGGCGAGUGGCGGACGGGUGAGGAAUACAUCGGAAUCUACUUUUUCGUGGGGGAUAACGUAGGGAAACUUACGCUAAUACCGCAUACGACCUACGGGUGAAAGCAGGGGAUCUUCGGACCUUGCGCGAUUGAAUGAGCCGAUGUCGGAUUAGCUAGUUGGCGGGGUAAAGGCCCACCAAGGCGACGAUCCGCAGCUGGUCUGAGAGGAUGAUCAGCCACACUGGAACUGAGACACGGUCCAGACUCCUACGGGAGGCAGCAGUGGGAAAUAUUGGACAAUGGGCGCAAGCCUGAUCCAGCCAUACCGCGUGGGUGAAGAAGGCCUUCGGGUUGUAAAGCCCUUUUGUUGGGAAAGAAAAGCAGCAGGUUAAUACCCCGCUGUUCUGACGGUACCCAAAGAAUAAGCACCGGCUAACUUCGUG
rnacentral:rRNA from 1 species